rnacentral:rRNA from 1 species
CAUGGCCCGAUACCCGGUGAUCCCGGCUGCCGAGAAAAGCUUCGGCGUCAGGCUCAAAGCCGCCCGUACCCCAAACCGACACUGGUGGUCAGGUAGAGAAUACCAAAGCGAUCGAGCGAAUCCUGGUCAAGGAACUCGGCAAAUCACUCCCGUUCCUUCGGUUUAAGGGAGACCCCCGAUGGUGAACACACUUGCUGUGGGAGCUUUUGGGGGUGGCACAGACCAGGGGGUAGCGACUGUUUACCAAAAACACAGGUGCAUGCGAAGGCGCAAGCCGCUGUAUAUGCACUGACGCCUGCCCGGUGCCGGAAGGUUAAGAGGAUCCGUCAGCCUUCGAGUGAAGCGGUGAAUUCAAGCCCCGGUAAACGGCGGUGGUAACGAUAACCAUCCUAAGGUAGCGAAAUUCCUUGUCGGGUAAGUUCCGACCUGCACGAAUGGCGUAACGACUUCCCCACUGUCUCGACCAGGAGCUCGGCGAAAUUGCAGUACGAGUAAAGAUGCUCGUUAAGCGCAGAAGGACGAAAAGACCCCGGGACCUUUACUAUACCUUGGUAUUGGCAUUCGGUGUGGAUUGUGUAGCAUAGGCGGGAGGCCGAGAGGCGCGGUCGCCAGAUCGCGCGGAGCCGUAAGGUGAAAUACCGCUCUGUUCGCAUUGGAUGUCUAACCUCGAACAGUCAUCCUGUUCAGGGACAGUGCCUGGCGGGUAGUUUAACUGGGGCGGUUGCCUCCCAAAGAGUAACGGAGGCGCCCAAAGGUCCGCUCAGCCCGGUUGGCAAUCGGGUGGCGAGUGCAAGUGCACAAGCGGGCUUGACUGCGAGGACGACGGUCCGAGCAGGGACGAAAGUCGGGACUAGUGAUCCGGUGCCGGUGUACGGACGCGGCAUCGCUCAACGGAUAAAAGGUACCCCGGGGAUAACAGGCUGAUCAUUCCCAAGAGUCCAUAUCGACGGGAUGGUUUGGCACCUCGAUGUCGGCUCGUCGCAUCCUGGGGCUGGAGCAGGUCCCAAGGGUUCGGCUGUUCGCCGAUUAAAGCGGCACGCGAGCUGGGUUCAGAACGUCGUGAGACAGUUUGGUCUCUAUCCUCUGCGCUCGUUGGAAUGCUGAGGAGGCCUGCCCAUAGUACGAGAGGACCUGGGUGGACGAACCUCUGGUAUGCCGGUCGUCACGCCAGUGGCACGGCCGGUUGGCUACGUUCGGAAGGAUAACCGCUGAAAGCAUCUAAGCGGGAAGCCUGCUCCAAGAUAAGCAUUCCGUGGAACCUUCGAGUUCCUGUAGUCCCCAUGCAGAACACGUGGUUGAUAGCCGGACGUGGAAGCCCCGCGAGGGGUGGAGCCGACCGGUACUAACGGACGAAAGCC